CCCCCCCAGCAGGGCCGCCCUGACCCCCCGCCCCUGACAUGGGGGAUGUGGAGGGUGAGGCCUCACUGGUAGUUUUUCAGGAGCCCAGGCAAACAAACACAGACCCCGCUGCCCAGGGCCCUCUCGGCACGGCAGGACCACUGACUUCAGGACCUGGCUGGUGGCUGCGGGCAGCAGCACACCCGAGAGGAACCAGCACGCAGAGCUCACCUUGAAUCACGUUUUUCUCCGAUAACGUUUAACGUCAAAGAAAGUGGAGAGGAAAUAGGCCCAGGUCAAGGCCUGGCUGCAGAGCGGAGAGAAGGAGAGGAACUCGGUGCUUCUGAACAGAACACGGGGAGAUGAAUCAUGCGGCCCAGAGUGCACACAGGCAGGUAUGAAUGGGGUGGCAGUGGAAUCUCACCCUCUGGUUCACUUCCCGCCACAGCCCGGGGACCAGACCCGUCCUGUCCUCAGAGAUGAAGGCCCGGGCUGGCUGUCUCCACUGCAGAGCACAUGCUCGCUCACCAGCUGGACUUCCACAAGGCACAGAAGAUAGAGGAAAGAGCCCAGCAGCACUGAACCUCCACAAUGACAGGGUGUGGUGUGCCAAAGCCCUGGAAACAGUCAGCGCUGCCUCUCCGCCUUGAGGACCAGCAUCCCCCUGCCAGGGCCAGGCUGACCGGGCCACCCUCCCAAAACCUGGAGACACAUAUUCAUGCCCAGAAGGCUGUGACCAACGCGGAUGAAUGCAGACAGAAGUGCAAGCAAGUAGCUGUGAACAGCAACAAACCCGUAUUUAUUGUAAGAACCUCACACCCUGAUUGCCUCUUCCACCUCUGUCCGCCUUGCUCUUUCUCCUGUAAAAGGACAUCCAUGAGGACC